rnacentral:rRNA from 1 species
AUUGAACGCUGGCGGCAGGCCUAACACAUGCAAGUCGAGCGGAUGAAGGGAGCUUGCUCCUGGAUUCAGCGGCGGACGGGUGAGUAAUGCCUAGGAAUCUGCCUGGUAGUGGGGGAUAACGUCCGGAAACGGGCGCUAAUACCGCAUACGUCCUGAGGGAGAAAGUGGGGGAUCUUCGGACCUCACGCUAUCAGAUGAGCCUAGGUCGGAUUAGCUAGUUGGUGGGGUAAAGGCCUACCAAGGCGACGAUCCGUAACUGGUCUGAGAGGAUGAUCAGUCACACUGGAACUGAGACACGGUCCAGACUCCUACGGGAGGCAGCAGUGGGGAAUAUUGGACGAUGGGCGAAAGCCUGAUCCAGGCAUGCCGCGUGUGUGAAGAAGGUCUUCGGAUUGUAAAGCACUUUAAGUUGGGAGGAAGGGCAGUAAGUUAAUACCUUGCUGUUUUGACGUUACCAACAGAAUAAGCACCGGCUAACUUCGUG